rnacentral:rRNA from 1 species
UAGGGAAUCUUCCGCAAUGGGCGAAAGCCUGACGGAGCAACGCCGCGUGAGUGAUGAAGGUCUUCGGAUCGUAAAACUCUGUUAUCAGGGAAGAACAAAUGUGUAAGUAACUAUGCACGUCUUGACUGUACCUAAUCAGAAAGCCACGGCUAACUACGUGCCAGCAGCCGCGGUAAUACGUAGGUGGCAAGCGUUAUCCGGAAUUAUUGGUCGUAAAGCGCGCGUAGGCGGUUUUUUAAGUCUGAUGUGAAAGCCCACGGCUCAACCGUGGAGGGUCAUUGGAAACUGGAAAACUUGAGUGCAGAAGAGGAAAGUGGAAUUCCAUGUGUAGCGGUGAAAUGCGCAGGGAUAUGGAGGAACACCAGUGGCGAAGGCGACUUUCUGGUCUGUAACUGACGCUGAUGUGCGAAAGCGUGGGGAUCAAACCGG